rnacentral:rRNA from 1 species
UACGUAGGGGGCAAGCGUUGUCCGGAAUCAUUGGGCGUAAAGAGCGCGUAGGCGGUCCGGUAAGUCCGCUCUGAAAGUCCGGGGCUCAACCCCGGGAGGCGGGCGGAUACUGUCGGGCUAGAGUCCGGAAGAGGCGAGUGGAAUUCCUGGUGUAGCGGUGAAAUGCGCAGAUAUCAGGAAGAACACCCGUGGCGAAAGCGGCUCUCUGGAACGGUACUGACGCUGAGACGCGAAAGCGUGGGGAGCGAACAGG